UCGAGAGGCUUCGGCAAUGGGGGAAACCCUGACCGAGCGACGCCGCGUGAGGGAUGAAGGCCCUUGGGUUGUAAACCUCUUUUGUUCGGGAAGAAGUGCGAUCAGGUGAAUAAUCUGGUCGUUUGACGGUACCGGACGAAUAAGCUCCGGCUAACUCCGUGCCAGCAGCCGCGGUAAUACGGGGGGAGCAAGCGUUGUUCGGAAUCACUGGGCGUAAAGGGAGUCUAGGCGGCUAGGUAAGUGGAACGUGAAAUGCCUCGGCUCACCCGAGGACCUGCGUCCCAAACUGCCUGGCUUGAGUAUGGGAGAGGGUGUGGGAAUUCCUGGUGUAGCGGUGAAAUGCGUAGAUAUCAGGAGGAACACCGGUGGCGAAGGCGCACACCUGGCCCAAUACUGACGCUGAAGCUCGAAAGCUAGGGGAGCAAACGGGAUUAGAUACCCCUGUAGUCC
rnacentral:rRNA from 1 species